UGCCCUUAAAGAAAGCAAACCGCAGCAAUCGACCCCGCUCCUCUUCCCACAAUGAAUGAGCCGUCCCACUGAUGUAAUUAACAACAAGAGCUUAGGCAUGAGGUCUGUUCCUCUAACACUGAAUGCCUGAAGCAUGGCGCAGUAUCCCUUUGGAGGGGGGAUGGACGUGUGGGUGAUCUCAGCAGAUGAGCGAGCCAAACAUGACCAGCAGUUCCUCAGUCUGUCUCCCACUUCAUCCGGCCACAUUACUGGUGACCAGGGGAGGAGCUUCUUCCUGCAGUCUGGCCUGCCGCCUGCUGUGUUGGCGCAGAUAUGGUAUGUAACAUCGUUAACCUUGUUAACUAACCUGAUUAGUCCACUUCAUCAAGCCCCAUUAUCCAACCUCACGCUAGCCUCGUUAACUGGAGCCGCCAGUCAACGUUUAGGGAAUCUGGUCGGUAUUCCGGAAUCUGGCCAGUAUUCCCAUUUUGAUUGGAAACGGACCCCAGUGUUGCAGCGCUGGGGAAAGAGUGGAUUAGUGAGCGGACCUCAGCUCUGGUCACACAACCCAAACACUGGGGAC